rnacentral:rRNA from 1 species
AUUGAACGCUGGCGGCAGGCCUAACACAUGCAAGUCGAACGAGUGGCGGACGGGUGAGUAAUGUCUGGGAAACUGCCCGAUGGAGGGGGAUAACUAAUGGAAACGGUAGCUAAUACCGCAUACCAUCGGAUGUGCCCAGAUGGGGUUAGCGUGUAGGUGAGGUAACGGCUCACCUAGGCGACGAUCCCUAGCUGGUCUGAGAGGAUGACGAGCCACACUGGAACGUAGACACGGGCCAGACUACUACGGGAGGCAGCAGUGGGGAAUAUUGAACAAUGGGCGCAAGCCUGAUGCAGCCAUGCCGCGUGGAUGAAGAAGGCCUUCUGGUUGUAAAGGACUUUCAGCGGGGAGGCGGUACCCGCAGAAGAAGCACCGGCUAACUCCGUGCCAGCCGCCGCGGUAAUAC